rnacentral:rRNA from 1 species
AUUGAACGCUGGCGGCAGGCCUAACACAUGCCAGUCGAGCGGAGCGGCGGACGGGUGAGUAAUGCCUAGGAAUCUGCCUGGUCGUGGGGGAUAACGUCCGGAAACGGGCGCUAAUACCGCAUACUAUCAGAUGAGCCUAGGUCGGAUUAGCUGGUUGGUGGGGUAAAGGCCUACCCAGGCGACGAUCCGUAACUGGUCUGCGAGGAUGAUCAGUCACACUGGAACGGAGACACGGUCCAGAAGCCUACGGGAGGCAGCAGUGGGGAAUAUUGGACAAUGGGCGAAAGCCUGAUGCAGCCAUGCCGCGUGGGUGAAGAAGGGCUGCGGAUUGUAAAGGACUUUAAGUUGGGAGGCGUUACCAGCAGAAGAAGCACCGGCUAACUUCGUGCCAGCAGCCGCGGUAAUAC